AUGAAAGAAAAGCUGGGAAUACAUUUUAGUGUGUUGUGGAGCAGAGUCCGUUCAGUUUUGUUCUCCUGCAUCUCCGCCUGGGCUAUCUGGAAGCAUCGUAACGCGGCCGUCUUUGAUGGCUUAUGACCCUCCAUCGACGACCUCGUCCUCUCGAUCAAGGAUGAUGCUCGCCUAUGGGCCAAGGCGGGCGCCAAGGGAUUAGCUUGGCCACCGUUUUACCUGUAA
rnacentral:rRNA from 1 species